GCCGGGAUAGCUCAGUUGGUAGAGCAGGGGACUGAAAAUCCUCGUGUCACCAGUUCAAA
rnacentral:tRNA from 26 species